rnacentral:rRNA from 1 species
CGGCGUGCUUAACACAUGCAAGUCGAACGCUGAAGCUUGGGUGCUUGCAUCUGGGUGGAUGAGUGGCCAACGGGUGAGUAAUACGUGAGUAACCUGCCCUUGACUCUGGGAUAAGCCUGGGAAACUGGGUCUAAUACUGGAUACUACACUCUCUCGCAUGGGGGUGUGUGGAAAGGGUUUUACUGGUUUUGGAUGGGCUCACGGCCUAUCAGCUUGUUGGUGGGGUAAUGGCCUACCAAGGCGACGACGGGUAGCCGGCCUGAGAGGGUGACCGGCCACACUGGGACUGAGACACGGCCCAGACUCCUACGGGAGGCAGCAGUGGGGAAUAUUGCACAAUGGGCGAAAGCCUGAUGCAGCGACGCCGCGUGAGGGAUGACGGCCUUCGGGUUGUAAACCUCUUUCAGCACGGAAGAAGCGAAAGUGACGGUACGUGCAGAAGAAGCGCCGGCUAACUACGUGCCAGCAGCCGCGGUAAUACGUAGGGCGCAAGCGUUGUCCGGAAUUAUUGGGCGUAAAGAGCUCGUAGGCGGUUUGUCGCGUCUGCUGUGAAAGCCCGGGGCUUAACCCCGUGGUGUGCAGUGGGUACGGGCAGACUAGAGUGCAGUAGGGGAGACUGGAAUUCCUGGUGUAGCGGUGAAAUGCGCAGAUAUCAGGAGGAACACCGAUGGCGAAGGCAGGUCUCUGGGCUGUUACUGACGCUGAGGAGCGAAAGCAUGGGGAGCGAACAGGAUUAGAUACCCUGGUAGUCC